CCUACGGGUGGCAGCAGUCGAGAAUCAUUCACAAUGGGGGAAACCCUGAUGGUGCGACGCCGCGUGGGGGAAUGAAGGUCUUCGGAUUGUAAACCCCUGUCAUGUGGGAGCAAAUUAAAAAGAUAGUACCACAAGAGGAAGAGACGGCUAACUCUGUGCCAGCAGCCGCGGUAAUACAGAGGUCUCAAGCGUUGUUCGGAAUCACUGGGCGUAAAGCGUGCGUAGGCUGUUUCGUAAGUCGUGUGUGAAAGGCGGGGGCUCAACCCGCGGACGGCACAUGAUACUGCGAGACUAGAGUAAUGGAGGGGGAACCGGAAUUCUCGGUGUAGCAGUGAAAUGCGUAGAUAUCGAGAGGAACACUCGUGGCGAAGGCGGGUUCCUGGACAUUAACGGACGCUGAGGCACGAAGGCCAGGGGAGCGAAAGGGAUUAGAUACCCCAGUAGUC
rnacentral:rRNA from 1 species